CUAUCACUGCCGGCUACUCUGCUUCCUUUACUGCUUCCCAUCUGACAUUUCUUAUCUGGCACGUAGGAGAUUUUCUUUAUCCAUGAGGCUGCACUGCAGAGCUGGUGUACACUGUAGCUGGUGACCUCGCAUGGGCAGCCUGUACCACAGCACUCAAGCACAUUCUCCACGGGCAUUUUAUGCCCUUCCUGGAGCUCAGCGUGACGGUGGGGAAAAUCAGCCUGUGUCGGAUAUGACAACACCACAGGUAUCUCCACGGCCCCUUGGAGCUACCUCCUAUCCUGGCUGUGUCCCUGUGCGACAGCAGGUUUCCACUUCCCUCCGGAGCCUCUGGGCACAGAGUGGAGAGUGACAGCAUGGACAGACAUCACCCUGUUGGGUCAGAUGGAAGCUGGGUGACAGCUGAGCAGGUGUCUGGGUGAUGUGAACAGACAGAGAUACUGAAAUGGAAGCAGGAAAGAGGAGAAGGCCUGUGGGAGCAAUGCAGACAUCUCAGCAUUUUAUUGUGUGCAUGUUCUGAGACCAGGAGCUGCUGGAAGAUCAGUGUCACUGGAAUACUGGAGUGCACAAAUGGCAUGUGGGGUCUGGGUAGGUCUGGGGACAGCCUCUGAGGGCUGCUUGUGCUCCCUGCAGCAUGGACCACACCACCGUGCUUCACUCUAGUGAGUUCCUUGCAAAGAUGUCCAGGUCUAGACAUUUCCAGCCUAGGAAUUAUGAACGUAGCUAGCAAACCUGUAGAGAAUUAGGUAAAUGCCAACAAAUGAUAGCUGGAAAGGAAAUCGUUAGUAACAGCUUGGGAGGGGAGAGUGGAGUUUCGCAGGGCAAAGGGGUUUAGCAAUAGGGCCCAAGUAAAGAAUGCACAGGAAUGGAGAGUGAGAAAAACUAGACUUCAUGGAAGUAGGCUUCUGGGAUUUUAUGACAGUGUUCCUGGGAUGAAGCCAGGGCAAAACUUGUAUUUAACUCCCAAAGAUUCUGAUUUUAGGUAUUUUCACUAUUUGUAAUUGUGAAAAUUGUGUGUAAAAAUAUCUGGAAAUGCCACUAUUUCUGUCUUUUGUGGUAACGAAGCCCUUUUCUUGCUCUCUGCCUGUUUCCUUUUGUUUGAAAGAGGGACUGAUUGGUCAGUUCUGUGAUGAAUUUGUCCAGUCUGUAGAACUGUAAUUGUUUCUGACCUGGUGACAGUACUGUAAUUUGGCCUGUUAAUGACAGCCUCCCACCACAUGAACUGCUAUCAUAAAGGUGCAAUAGUUCUGUAGAGCAAAGCAAGCUGAUGGUAGGGACUGUUGAAAAAUGGUGCUUUAUGGGUGAGAAUUUGCUAUGUCAAACAGUGUUAUUUUGCUGUUUGUAUCUGUUGUAUUUUCCAUGGAAAUAAAUAGGAGGCAGUACUUUCAGAGAGACCUGCACACAAGCAAAAUUCUGCAAGGACCAGGGAAUAUCCAGUACUCUCGAGUGUUGCAGACUGCUUUUGCUGCUGGAGUCAGCAGUCCUCAGAGUCAGUUCUCUUGAUCAAAGAAUACAAGAUCAAAAAUAUAAAAAGAGAAAUUAGGUUCUGUCCUGAUGAUUUAUGUGUUUAACAGUGUUAGGAGGAGUAAGAUGCCCUCAUCAGGAAGGUUUUCAGGGCUGUGCCUAAGUCACAGAGGUCUGUAGUAUGCCUUUUGGGUGGGCUGUUCUAGUCAGCAUGGAUGGGUGGAGCUUACAGUAGUGGGUUAACACUUAUGUUGUGCCUGAGCGUUAGUCGUGGUUUUGUGUACCUUCCAAUUGCUCAGCUGUCAGGUGGCUAUGUUAAGUAGCAUGAUAAUUGGGUUCCAGGUAAUGAGUGCAAUGUAAACAGGUUUCUUAGCCAUUUGACAAUUCAUCUGCAUAGAUGAACUCUGGAUAUGUGCUGGGAAUUUCUCUUUUUAGAGCAAAAGUUUCAUUCUUUUUUUUUUUUUUCUGAAUUGUUUCUUGUUUUAAAUAAUUUAAUUGCCAUUGUUGUUUAUGAAUGUCCCUGUACUAACAUGUUUUUGAUGUUUUUUUGGAGCUAGGCACUAAUGGAACUCUGCUGUUUUCUGAAAAAUCACUGUCAUUUUGUAAAGUCUUAGCAGUGUGCAAAAAGUGUAAUUUGCCUGAGGAAUGGUACUUCAGAAAUAAAGUAAUGUUACAAGCAA